rnacentral:rRNA from 1 species
AGAAUCAACGCUGGCGGCGUGCCUAACACAUGCAAGUCGCACGAGAAAGGGGAGCAAUCCCUGAGUAAAGUGGCGCACGGAUGAGUAACACGUGAAUAAUCUACCUCCGAGUGGGGAAUAACUGAGAGAAAUCUUAGCUAAUACCGCAUAACACUUACGAGUCAAAGCAGCAAUGCGCUUGGAGAGGAGUUCGCGGCCGAUUAGUUAGUUGGCGGGGUAAUGGCCCACCAAGACGAUGAUCGGUA